rnacentral:other from 1 species
GAGUACCUGGGGUGUUUGCCAGUUGAGACAUCCUUGAGCCGAUAAGUGUUACCUCGGGAGCUACUCGUUGAUGAUGGUGUGCAUACCCGCAAGUCGGGGAGCCUUUUUUAUCACAGUUUUUCCCACCUUGAACCCCGGGUUCAAGGUAAAUUCAGCAGCGGCACCUUGGGACUCU